ensembl:snoRNA
UGGACCAACAAUGAUGACUGUUAGCAUAUGGGGCAUAUGUGAUGAAUAAGUGUCUGGAACUCUGGGGUCCAA